CUGCUUCUGCAGCAACUUUGCUAAAAUUGGAAUGAUUCAGAGAAGCUGAGCAUAGCCCUUGUGCAAGGAUGACAUGCAAAUUCAUGAAACAUUCCAUUAUUUU
rnacentral:snRNA from 1 species